rnacentral:rRNA from 1 species
UGCUCCCAGAAUAUAAAUAAUUGAGAGUAACUCCUGCCCAGUGAGUAAUUCAACGGCCGCGGUAUCCUAACCGUGCAAAGGUAGCAUAAUCAUUUGCCCAUUAAUUGUGGGCUAGAAUGAAAGGAUUAACGAAAUAAAGACUGUCUCUGCAGGACACAUAAAAAUUACCCUCUAACCGAAGAGCGUUAGAUACUAUCGAAGGACAAGAAGACCCUAUAGAGCUUAAUUUAAACAAAUGUAAAAAAUUUACUAAAAUUCGGUUGGGGCGACCGAGGAAAUAAUUAUCAUCCUCAGAUAAAAGAUAAAUAAAUCUAACUAAUGACCCUUAACUAAGAUCACUAAAACAAGCUACCUUAGGGAUAACAGGCUAAUCUCACUAGAGAGUCCUUAUUAAUAGUGAGGUUUGGCACCUCGAUGUUGGCUUAGGGAAUCUAUGUGGCGCAAAAGUCACAUAAAGAUGGUUUGUUCAACCAAUAACACCCU